AACGAACGCUGGCGGCAUGCCUAACACAUGCAAGUCGAACGAGACCUUCGGGUCUAGUGGCGCACGGGGGCGUAACGCGUGGGAACCUGCCCUUAGGUUCGGAAUAACUCCCCGAAAGGGGUGCUAAUACCGGAUAAUGUCUUCGGACCAAAGAUUUAUCGCCUUUGGAUGGGCCCGCGUUGGAUUAGCUGGUUGGUAGGGUAAAAGCCUACCAAGGCGACGAUCCAUAGCUGGUCGGAGAGGAUGAUCAGCCACACUGGGACUGAGACACGGCCCAGACUCCUACGGGAGGCAGCAGUGGGGAAUAUUGGACAAUGGGCGAAAGCCUGAUCCAGCAAUGCCGCGUGAGUGAUGAAGGCCUUAGGGUUGUAAAGCUCUUUUACCCGGGAUGAUAAUGACAGUACCGGGAGAAUAAGCUCCGGCUAACUCCGUG
rnacentral:rRNA from 1 species